AGGACGAACGCUGGCGGCGUGCUUAACACAUGCAAGUCGAGCGAGGCCCUUCCUUCGGGGAGGUGCCCUAGCGGCGAACGGGUGAGUAACACGUGGGCAACCUGCCCCUAGCACUGGGAUAACUCCGGGAAACCGGGGCUAAUACCGGAUAUGACCUUCUUGGGCAUCCUCGAAGGUGUAAAGGAUUCUGGCUAGGGAUGGGCCCGCGGCCUAUCAGCUUGUUGGUGGGGUAAUGGCCUACCAAGGCGACGACGGGUAGCCGGCCUGAGAGGGUGACCGGCCACACUGGGACUGAGACACGGCCCAGACUCCUACGGGAGGCAGCAGUGGGGAAUCUUGCACAAUGGGCGAAAGCCUGAUGCAGCGACGCCGCGUGAGGGAUGACUGCCUUCGGGUUGUAAACCUCUUUCAGCAGGGACGAAGCGAAAGUGACGGUACCUGCAGAGAAGCACCGGCAACUACGCGCCAGCAGCCGC
rnacentral:rRNA from 1 species